UACGUAGGCAGCAAGCGUUGUUCGGAGUUACUGGGCGUAAAGGGUGUGUAGGCGGUUGCUUAAGUUUGGUGUGAAAUCUCCCGGCUCAACUGGGAGGGUGCGCCGAAUACUGAGUGACUCGAGUGCGGGAGAGGAAAGUGGAAUUCCUGGUGUAGCGGUGAAAUGCGUAGAUAUCAGGAGAAACACCGGUGGUGUAGACGGCUUUCUGGACCGUAACUGACGCUGAAACACGAAAGCGUGGGUAGCAAACAGG
rnacentral:rRNA from 1 species